AUAGUAGGCUAUAGCUUUAGAUGACAAAACGGGGUUUGUAGCCCUGAAUGUCGCACAGGUUACACUGUGCUAUCAAGUUGCUUGACCAUUACACAACUUAAAUUUAGUCCCAACUUAUCACAUAUGAUUAGGUGGUGUAUUUGUGAAUCAAUACAAGUUUGUGACAUGUUCUUUUAAACGACUCAAGCUAAUAAAUAAACAAGACACUGUGCUACAUCGAGAAAUAUAGAAACCAGGUUCAUUAUUGCUACUCAACAGUAGCCGGGGGUGGAGCUUAGCAAAUGCGUCAGACGCAUUUAGAAUGCUUUUUGUUCAAAUGAAUGUUGUCAUAGCAUUUAUGGGAAAAACACAUUUUGAAGAAUGCUGGCAGAGCUGGUACAUGCACUUUGGAUUACAGAGGAGGAAAAGAGAGGAGAGGAAAGAAAGAAAAGAUUAUUUUCAGAGGAACAACAGGAACUGAAGGAGGAGCAGGAGCGGCUGGAGAAGCGACCGGAGAAGCAGGACCUGCCGGAGGAGCAUGAGCAGCAUUCUUCACCUGAUGGAAGAGACAGGAGCAGCAGCCAUCAUUAAUAAAUGCAACAUCAUAUCAAAAUAAUAAAAUCAAUCAGUGUCAUUCA